CAAGUCGAACGAGAAAGUGGAGCAAUCCAUGAGUAAAGUGGCGACCGGGUGAGUAACACGUGACUAACCUACCUUCGAGUGGGGGAUAACCUCGGGAAACCGGGGCUAAUACCGCAUAACAUCUUUGGAGUGGAAAUUCUGGAGAUCAAAGGAGCAAUUCGCUGGAAGAGGGGGUCGCGGCUGAUUAGCUAGUUGGCGGGGUAACGGCCCACCAAGGCUUAGAUCGGUAGCCGGCCUGAGAGGGCGCACGGCCACACUGGAACUGAAACACGGUCCAGACUCCUACGGGAGGCAGCAGUGGGGAAUUUUGCGCAAUGGGGGAAACCCUGACGCAGCAACGCCGCGUGGAGGAUGAAGUCCCUUGGGACGUAAACUCCUUUCGACCCGGACGAUAAUGACGGUACGGGUGGAAGAAGCCCCGGCUAACUUCGUGCCAGCAGCCGCGGUAAUACGAGGGGGGCAAGCGUUGUUCGGAAUUAUUGGGCGUAAAGGGCGCGUAGGCGGUGCGGUAAGUCACCUGUGAAACCUCUAGGCUCAACCUAGAGCCUGCAGGCGAAACUGCCGUGCUUGAGGGUGGGAGAGGUGCGUGGAAUUCCCGGUGUAGCGGUGAAAUGCGUAGAUCUCGGGAGGAACACCUGUGGCGAAAGCGGCGCACUGGACCACAUCUGACGCUGAGGCGCGAAGCUAGGGGAGCAAACAGGAUAGAUACCCUGGUAGUCCUAGCCCUAAACGAUGGAUGCUUGGUGUGAUCGUACCCA
rnacentral:rRNA from 1 species